ACUCGGUUUCAUUUCAGUGAUCGAAAAGUGUAAUAGCGAAUCUUGUCUCCCUGCCUGCAGCCUGCCCUAGCCUGACCCGCCAGACAUGUGCCCCAGGCCUUCCCCUAGCCUGUAGAGCCAUGUAAGCCUGCAGGUCAAGGUCAGGUUAAACGCAACAGGCCGUAACGUGAAAGAUGAAGAGAUUUACGAAGACUGUGUUUGAUGGGCUCAGGUCCUCCGUGCAGGCCACCAACAAGCAAGAGGUUGAGGAAAUACAAAUUUUUGAGACUCUGCAAGCUGAUGCCUUCCAGAUCGCGAAGACGGUGCGCCAUGGGUUCCCGUACCAGCCCACAGCGAUCGCCUUUGACCCAAUCCAGCGAAUAUUGGCAGUCGGGACAAAACAAGGCUCAAUUAGAAUCAUAGGCAGGCCAGGCGUGGACGUCCACCUGCGGCAUGAAGGCAUGACGCCGCUGUUGUAGCUCUGUCCUUCCUCAUAAACGAUGGAGCGCUCGUUUCCGCGACUGGGGACGACACCCUACACAUGUGGUCGUUGCGGCAGAAAACGCCACAGAUUUUGCAUUCUCUCAAGUUCCAGAGGGAGAGGAUCACCACUUUACAUGUCCCGUUCCAAAGCAAGUGGCUGUAUUUGGGGACUGAGCGAGGCAACAUUCAUAUCGUUAAAAUUGUGACCUUUGAACUGAGUGGUUAUUGUAUAAACUGGAAUAAGGCCAUUGAAUUGUCACGCAAGACACACCCUGGCGCAGUGGUCCAUCUUAGUGAAAACCCUGUCGACCCUGGCAAGCUGCUGAUUGGCUAUGAAAGUGGGCAACUGGUUCUGUGGGAUUUCAAGGCUUGCUGUGCUGAUGUCAGAUAUCAGGCCACUGAACCCCUAAGGUCAGUGUCUUGGCACCAUGAAGGAAAGCAGUUUAUGUGUUGUCAUACUGAUGGUUCGCUCACAACCUGGACUCUGAAGCAAGCCUCAGCCAGACCCACCUCCACUGUCUUCCCUCACGGAUUUGAUAUCAAAGCUGGUGCAGGAAAAGGAAGCAGAUCGUGACCUUGAGCAGCUCGGGAAGAUAAGCAGCGUCCUUAAGAGUCCAGUUGCUAUCAUUAGCAGUUUUGGAACCAGUGAGUCUGAGACACCCACCAGCAGUGGAAAGGUGGCUGACGAGCGCCUCAAGCACUCUGAAAAGGUGGAGCAACAACAAGAAACAGAAAAUUGCAUCCAUCAUUCUUUGCCUGAGGAGGGAAUUGAUGCUGUGUUGACCCUUGACAGUGACGUCCCUCAUGAGGAGAAUAUGAAUCCUACAGAACUUGCCCAUAGAAAGACCAAAACUGUUACUGCUGCCACUACCACCACUGCCACCGCUUCCACUGCCACCAAAAGCCCAACUGUGCAAAGAAUCCUGGACCUCCUCAAUGAAAUGGAGUCCACCAGUCAGCUGGAGCACUCUAGCCUCCAAAAGUUCCAUCUGUGUCCAUUGUGUUUGGGUAAACUUAUCACUGUAUGAGGGGACAAGUAUCAGUGUAUGGUUACUAUAUACUCAUUUGUACUUAAAAAUGUCAUGUCACAUCAUUCUCUCUCUCUCUCUCUCUCUCUCUCUCUCUCUCUCUCUCUCUCUCUCUCUCUCUCUCUCUCUCUCUCUCUCUCUCUCUCUCUCUCUCUCUCUCUCUCUCUCUCUCUCUCUCUCUCUCUCUCUCUCUCUCUCUCUCUCUUUCUUUCUUUCUUUCUUUCUUUCUUUCUUUCUUUUGUUGCAUAUUUUACUCCUUUACAUUCUUCCCUACAGUAUUUUUUCGUCUACUUUAUGACUGGAGUCGUUUUAU